rnacentral:rRNA from 1 species
AUUGAACGCUGGCGGCAGGCCUAACACAUGCAAGUCGAGCGGAUGAAGGGAGCUUGCUCCUGGAUUCAGCGGCGGACGGGUGAGUAAUGCCUAGGAAUCUGCCUGGUAGUGGGGGAUAACGUCCGGAAACGGGCGCUAAUACCGCAUACGUCCUGAGGGAGAAAGUGGGGGAUCUUCGGACCUCACGCUAUCAGAUGAGCCUAGGUCGGAUUAGCUAGUUGGGGGGGUAAAGGCCUACCAAGGCGACGAUCCGUAACUGGUCUGAGAGGAUGAUCAGUCACACUGGAACGGAGACACGGUCCAGACUCCUACGGGAGGCAGCAGUGGGGAAUAUUGGACAAUGGGCGAAAGCCUGAUCCAGCCAUGCCGCGUGUGUGAAGAAGGUCUUCGGAUUGUAAAGCACUUUAAGUUGGGAGGAAGGGCAGUAAGUUAAUACCUUGCUGUUUUGACGUUACCAACAGAAUAAGCACCGGCUAACUUCGUG